rnacentral:rRNA from 1 species
ACGGAAGGCAGCAGUGGGGAAUAUUGCACAAUGGGGGAAACCCUGAUGCAGCAACGCCGCGUGAGUGAUGAAGUAUUUCGGUAUGUAAAGCUCUAUCAGCAGGGAAGAAAAUGACGGUACCUGACUAAGAAGCCCCGGCUAACUACGUGCCAGCAGCCGCGGUAAUACGUAGGGGGCAAGCGUUAUCCGGAUUUACUGGGUGUAAAGGGUGCGUAGACGGCUGUGCAAGUCAGAAGUGAAAUCCCGGGGCUUAACCCCGGUGCUGCUUUUGAAACUGUACGGCUAGAGUGCUGGAGGGGCAAGCGGAACUCCUGGUGUAGCGGUGGAAUGCGUAGAUAUAAGGAGGAACACCAGUGGCGAAGGCGGAUUGCUGGACGACAACUGACGGUGAGGCGCGAAAGCGUGGGGAGCAAACAGGAUUAGAUACCCUGGUA